GACGUGAUGCCGUUUCCGCCGUUUCCGCCACGGUUGUAGGCGUUCUCGUAGGACGUCAGUCGGUUGCGUUGCAAACUGUCCGGCAGCGCUUUCCUGUGUACGAGAAAAAAGGGUUGUAGUUUAUAUGUAGGUAUGGGGGUGGACAAACGUAUUUUUAACGUGGUUUCAUGUAGGAGGACGGCGUGGAUUUCAAAACUGAGAUAGCGUGUUCACGAUGGUCAUAAAUGUUUUUCGUAAAUUUCGAAAAUCUUCAUUUUUACUACGACAGUGAGGUAAUAUUAUGUAUUAUAUCGCUCUGUAUGACUUUGAUUUUGCGGAGAAGAAGUUACCUAUAUAAUAUUGAAUAGUAUAAUAUAUUUAUUAAAUAUUAAUAAUGCCUUUUUGGAUCAUUGAGUAUAGUGCGUAUGUAUUUUAAUGUUUAGGAUAAUAUUAUAUCAGCUAUAUUCGUUUUUGUGGAACUUAUAUAUAUUAAAUUCGAUCGAAAAUUCAAAUGAGAUGAGCAAUUCUUAGUCGCAUCAAAUGGAACGUAUAACAUCAGUGGCGUAAGUAGGGAAUGUAGACAACGUGGUUACAUUGAGGUUUAAUGUUCAGAGAGUCUUUGUCGGCUUUUCGAUUUUUUACAUCUAGGUUGAUCCAUAAAACAACGUUUUACAUCGAAUAAAAUAUAAGACACGGAACUGCUAGAAAAAAAAUCGUGGAUUCACUCGAUUUAUUCCAUUUAGAUAGGACAAAAUAAACGUUAUAGGUUUUUUUACAACGAUCCGAGACUGCGAAACGUCAUCAUCGUUCGGUACGUACCUGCCGGAGUCCUGUUGCAAUUGCCGGAAAUCGGCGGAAAACGGGCCGGGUCCGAGCGCGAACGGAUCGGCCGUAUACGGGGC